GGCCAAGCAACCAGAUCAUGUACAAUUAAGCACCCAGGAAAUUUGCUUAAAUAACAUACAUGAUCAAAUACGAUGCACACAAGUGCAAUACAUCUAAGAGCAAGAACCACAAGUGAUAUACAAGUGUAUAAAGAGAGAUAGUCUAACUAUCACAAUCGUUCAACAUUUACAUUAUUUGAACAUAUUAUAUUUUCAUCUUCCAAAAUGUAAGUACAUGUUUUCUUCAAAAUACAAGUAGCUCUCUGAUAUCUAUCCAAAAUAUCAACUAGUACGCGAGGGUACUCUAAUGCAUAAGGAAAAGCUACUAACUAGGCUCACUUAGGGCGCUAUGCCCUUACCGCGGUCCUCGCUCGGCUCGCCUCUAUGUGUACCUGUACCCCAAAACCACACGGGGUGAGAACUAUAUAAAUAUAGUUCCCAGUGGGUUCGGCCGCCGACGCCGCCGGUUUUCCCACUAGGUCUAAGCUGGCACAGAUAGAGAGAUAGAUAGAUANUGGUCUCCAAGUGUCAUAGGAAACUUAGCCUCCAAGUUUCAUAGGAAACUUGGCCUCCAAGUUAUCUAGGAAACUUGGCCUCCAAGUUAUCCAAGAACACUAUUCACAUUCGGUUUAGCAGCACGGUACAGAUAUAUAUCGUUUGCCCUGUCUCUCACAGAAAAUUCUAAAUCUUCUGUUUUCGCUUCCAUUUCAACACGGGUCACUCUAGACUUAUAAUUUAUGUCUAUAAGUCCAAUAAAAAUAGUAUCCCACACUAUUUUUAUUUAUUUUCACUUUUACAUUUAAAAUCCGGUACCUUACAGCUACAACUCAAAUCUCCCGAUUUAUGGUCGCCGAUUUCCCUCGACCCAU
rnacentral:lncRNA from 1 species